rnacentral:rRNA from 1 species
GACGAACGCUGGCGGCGUGCUUAACACAUGCAAGUCGAACGGAAAGGCCCUGCUUUUGUGGGGUGCUCGAGUGGCGAACGGGUGAGUAACACGUGAGUAACCUUCCCUUGACUUUGGGAUAACUUCAGGAAACUGGGGCUAAUACCGGAUAGGAGCUCCUGCUGCAUUGUGUGGGUUGGAAAGUUUCGGCGGUUGGGGAUGGACUCGCGGCUUAUCGGCUUGUUGGUGGGGUAGUGGCUUACCAAGGCUUUGACGGGUAGCCGGCCUGAGAGGGUGACCGGCCACAUUGGGACUGAGAUACGGCCCAGACUCCUACGGGAGGCAGCAGUGGGGAAUAUUGCACAAUGGGCGGAAGCCUGAUGCAGCAACGCCGCGUGCGGGAUGACGGCCUUCGGGUUGUAAACCGCUUUCGCCUGUGACGAAGCGUGAGUGACGGUAAUGGGUAAAGAAGCACCGGCUAACUACGUG